GAAUAUUGGACAAUGGGGGGAACCCUGAUCCAGCCAUGCCGCGUGUGUGAAGAAGGCCUUUUGGUUGUAAAGCACUUUAAGCGAGGAGGAGGCUACUCUAGUUAAUAACUAGGGAUAGUGGACGUUACUCGCAGAAUAAGAACCGGCUCACUCUGUGCCAGCCGCCGCGGUAAUACCGAGGGUGCAAGCGUUAAUCGGACUUACUGGGCGUAACGCGCGCGUAGGUGGCCAAUUAAGUCAAAUGUGAAAUCCCCGAGCUUAACUUGGGAAUUGCAUUCGAUACUGGUUGGCUAGAGUAUGGGAGAGGAUGGUAGAAUUCCAGGUGUAGCGGUGAAAUGCGUAGAGAUCUGGAGGAAUACCGAUGGCGAAGGCAGCCAUCUGGCUUAAUACUGACGCUGAGGUACGAAAGCAUGGGGAGCAAACAG
rnacentral:rRNA from 1 species